rnacentral:rRNA from 1 species
UUGGAGGGCAAGUCUGGUGCCAGCAGCCGCGGUAAUUCCAGCUCCAAUAGCGUAUAUUAAAGUUGUUGCAGUUAAAAAGCUCGUAGUUGAACUUCGGGGUUUACCCAUUGGUCAGGCUUAAUUGUCCGCACUGGUGAGAUGAAUCUCUACCUUCUGAGGAACUUUCAUGCCAUUUAUUUGGUGUGAUGGGAAAUCAGGACUGUUACUUUGAAAAAAUUAGAGUGUUUAAAGCAGGCUAACGUCUGAAUACAUUAGCAUGGAAUAAUGAAAUAGGACGGACUGAUUCUAUUUCGUUGGUUUCUAGGAUCACCGUAAUGAUUAAUAGGGAUAGUUGGGGGCAUUAGUAUUCAAUUGUCAGAGGUGAAAUUCUUGGAUUUAUUGAAGACUAACUACUGCGAAAGCAUUUGCCAAGGAUGUUUUCAUUAAUCAAGAACGAAAGUUAGGGGAUCGAAGACGAUCAGAUACCGUCGCAGUCUUAACCAUAAACUAUGCCGACUAGGGAUCGGACGAAGUUAAUUUUAUAAUGACGCGUUCGGCACCCUAUGGGAAACCAAAG